rnacentral:ncRNA from 1 species
UAAAGGCUUGGUCCUGACUUUACUAUCAGCUUUAUACCAGAUCUAUACAUGCAAGUCUCCGCACCCCUGUGAGAAUGCCCUUAAUCCCCCACCCGGGGGUGAGGAGCCGGCAUCAGGCACGCCCCGGCAGCCCAAAACGCCUUGCUAAGCCACACCCCCAAGGGUAUUCAGCAGUAAUAAACAUUAAGCCAUGAGCGAAAGCUUGACUUAGUUAAGGUAAAUAGGGUCGGUAAAACUCGUGCCAGCCACCGCGGUUAUACGAGAGACCCAAGUUGAUAUUUACCGGCGUAAAGAGUGGUUAUGGGACUUAAUAAACUAAAGCCAAACACCUCCUAGGCUGUCAUACGCACCUGAAGGCACGAAACCCCCUCACGAAAGUAGCUUUACCCUCUCCCCCGAACCCACGACAACUAUGCCACAAACUGGGAUUAGAUACCCCACUAUGCUUAGCCGUAAACUUUGAUAAAAAAAUACAACUGAUAUCCGCCAGGGUACUACAAGCGCCAGCUUAAAACCCAAAGGACUUGGCGGUGCCACAGACCCACCUAGAGGAGCCUGUUCUAGAACCGAUACCCCCCGUUCAACCUCACCACCCCUUGUUAAUCCCGCCUAUAUACCGCCGUCGUCAGCUUACCCUGUGAAGGCCUCAUAGUAAGCAAAAAGAGUAUAACCCCAAACGUCAGGUCGAGGUGUAGCGUAUGGGGUGGGAAGAAAUGGGCUACAUUCUCUAGCCUAGAGCAAUACGAAUAAUACUGUGAAACCAGUAAUUAAAGGUGGAUUUAGCAGUAAAUAGAAAAUAGAGAAUUCUCUUGAAACUGGCUCUGAGGCGCGCACACACCGCCCGUCACUCUCCCCGAGUCCUUCUUUCUCCAAAUAACUAAGAAAACAACCGGACUAAGGGGAGGCAAGUCGUAACAUGGUAAGUGUACCGGAAGGUGCACUUGGAAUAAG